rnacentral:rRNA from 1 species
CGGACGGGUGAGUAAUGCCUAGGAAAUUGCCUUGAUGUGGGGGAUAACCAUUGGAAACGAUGGCUAAUACCGCAUGAUGCCUACGGGCCAAAGAGGGGGACCUUCGGGCCUCUCGCGUCAAGAUAUGCCUAGGUGGGAUUAGCUAGUUGGUGAGGUAAUGGCUCACCAAGGCGACGAUCCCNNNNUGGNCUGAGAGGAUGAUCAGCCACACUGGAACUGAGACACGGUCCAGACUCCUACGGGAGGCAGCAGUGGGGAAUAUUGCACAAUGGGCGAAAGCCUGAUGCAGCCAUGCCGCGUGUAUGAAGAAGGCCUUCGGGUUGUAAAGUACUUUCAGUUGUGAGGAAGGGUGUGUAGUUAAUAGCUGCGCAUCUUGACGUUAGCAACAGAAGAAGCACCGGCUAACUCCGUGCCAGCAGCCGCGGUAAUACGGAGGGUGCGAGCGUUAAUCGGAAUUACUGGGCGUAAAGCGCAUGCAGGUGGUUCAUU